AGCCGCGCGGUGCGCACAUAGCGAACUAUUCUUUCGCCUUUUACUAAAGAAUACCGUGUGCGCGCCGCUGAUAGCGGCAUACGCUUUUUUUUGGAGGGUUUCACCGUUAGGUGGCCC